rnacentral:rRNA from 1 species
AACGAACGCUGGCGGCAUGCCUAACACAUGCAAGUCGAACGAAGUCUUCGGACUUAGUGGCGCACGGGUGCGUAACGCGUGGGAAUCUGCCCUUGGGUUCGGAAUAACAGUUAGAAAUGACUGCUAAUACCGGAUGAUGUCUUCGGACCAAAGAUUUAUCGCCCAGGGAUGAGCCCGCGUAGGAUUAGGUAGUUGGUGGGGUAAUGGCCCACCAAGCCGACGAUCCUUAGCUGGUCUGAGAGGAUGAUCAGCCACACUGGGACUGAGACACGGCCCAGACUCCUACGGGAGGCAGCAGUGGGGAAUAUUGGACAAUGGGCGAAAGCCUGAUCCAGCAAUGCCGCGUGAGUGAUGAAGGCCUUAGGGUUGUAAAGCUCUUUUACCCGAGAUGAUAAUGACAGUAUCGGGAGAAUAAGCUCCGGCUAACUCCGUG